rnacentral:lncRNA from 1 species
GAGGGCGGUGCCUCUUCGAUUUUGGAGUAAGCAAUCUUGUUGGGAGUGUUUUCUCGGAUGUGAGUAAAGGUUGGGCAUGUUUGCUAGUCUACCUUGCCACGAAGCACGGAGGUUGACACACACGGACUUUCCAAUUAUCCAGCUGUGGUACUGUUCCUUUACCCUUGUGGGUAAUAAUAUGGUAGCUAGACCUUCAAAAUUUAUGUGUCUAAACUUUGUUAGUGCUGUUUCUUUGCUAUUCUUUUACCUUUCUUGGUCAGAGCGAUGUAGUGGGAGCUGCAAGCUUCACGUGCUCAACUUUGGCAGAGACUUUGGCAAAGUUAUCUGUGGUACCCAUGAGCUAUUGUUGCGUGUGGGAAGUGGGUGAUUGAACAGUAAGAUUCAUGUGCUUUCGACUUCACCAGAAGUCUUCGACAGAAUGCCCAUAAUUUCCGCAAAGCUGAGUGUGCGUGUGACAGGUGCUGACAAGGCUAGAAAAAUAGGUGCCUCUUCGAUUUCUGAGAUCGGCCCUCGUGAUCUCUGAGUAGCCCAGCUUUUGAGAAAGCGAGCGCCUCUUCGAUUGAUUCGGAGAACGAUGCCCCUUCGAUUUUUGAGAAAGCAAUCAUGCUGGGGGUCUGGCUCUCGAGAUUCGGGGAGCAGUGUCUCUUCGAUUUUUGAGAAAGUAAUCAUGUUGGGAGUCUGGCUCUCGAGAUUCGGAGGGCGGUGCCUCUUCGAUUUUGGAGCAAGCAAUCUUGUUGGAAGUGUUUUCUCGAAUGUGAGUAAAGGUUGGGCAUGUUUGCUAGUUUACCUUGCCACGAAGCACAGAGGUUGACACACAGGGACUUUCCAAUUAUCCAGCAAUGGUACUGUUCAUUUACCCUCUCUUCGAUUUUUGAGAAAGUAGUCAUGUUGGGAGUCUGGCUCUCGAGAUUCGGAGGACGGUGCCUCUUCGAUUUUGGAGCAAGCAAUCUUAUUGGGAGUGUUUUCUCGAAAUGUGAGUAAAGGUUGGGCAUGUUUGCUAGUCUACCUUGCCACAAGGCACAGAGGUUGACACACAGGGACUUUCCAAUUAUCCAGCAGUGGUACUGUUCCUUUACCCUUGUGGGUAAUAAUAUGGUAGCUAGACCUUCAAAAUUUAUGGGUCUAAACUUUGUUAGUGCUGUUUCUUUGCUAUUCUUUUACCCUUCUUGGUCAGAGCGAUGUAGUGGGAGUUGCAAGCUUCACGUGCUCAACUUUGGC